AAUCCAUGUUUCCUAUGGAACACAGAUUAUCUGCCAAAUCACUCUGUGAGACAGGAUAUGAAAGUAGAGGAAAGGAGUAUACGUGUGGUUCCUAACAGUCAAAGCAUAUUAAUAUUUAUUGACACAUUUGGCUCUUACCUGUGAGAGAGCAAAGGUAUGAAAAUGCAGAAGAGGAAAAUAAAUUAUCUUCGACUUCAGGCAAUAUAAGACCAGGGGUUUAGGUCUGUUUUUGCACUGAUACAUCACAACCAAACAGAAAACUUCCUGGCAAAGAGCAAAUGCUCGAAAACAUUUUUGUACAAAACCAAAUUCAGUCAUUAUAAUUUUACUUAGCUUUAAAUUUAUUUAACAAAUUAUAUGAAAUUCAUGUAAUUGAUAAAAACAUGAGCAGCAGAAAAAAAAAUCUCCCUAAAGAUGUCUAUCCAGAUGCCUCUAGAAGGUCAAACUAUUGUUCGCAUAAACUACACUGGUUACUUAUUCAAUAUUCAUCAAGAACCUCUUAUGUGCCAAACUGUGCAAAUGCUGGAUUAAAAUGCAGAGUGUGUUACAUGCAGAGGCUACUCUCAAGGAAGUUAUGGUUUGAUAGAGGGGAUAUGGACAAGUA